AAACGACUCUCGGCAACGGAUAUCUCGGCUCACGCAUCGAUGAAGAACGUAGCAAAAUGCGAUACUUGGUGUGAAUUGCAGAAUCCCGUGAACCAUCGAGUUUUUGAACGCAAGUUGCGCCCAAAGCCAUCCGGUUGAGGG
rnacentral:rRNA from 1 species